CUGUAAACUAACCUGCAUGCUAAAAGUGCAAUAAGUCGCUUCAGAAGGUGUUUUCUUGAGGAUAUAACGUCUUCACCGUUUCCUCGACUUCUCUGAAUUGUUUUUAGGAAGCUGAGCUGAAAGUUGAAGAUGGACAUUUGCAGUUUUACCCACUGUUGAGGAGAUUCUCCACUGGGAUGCCAGGACCACUGCUUCCCUUCAACAAGGAACGAAGAAGGUGUACAGGGUCUAUAGUUCCCCCUGCAUGCGCCGCGUUUCAAACAUCAACAUCUAUACGUGCUGAUGAUGACCUCUGAUGACUUCCAUUGGCCUCUCGGCAAGUCGGAUGACACUCCCUGCAGUGAUUAAUGUACACAUCAACCGGCCAGGCAUUAACCCCCAAAGGUCCUCUCAAUGACACACCUCAGCGCUCUGUGGCUUUCUGCGCACAGAAACACACACUGAAGACCCCGGCGAGGCUUCUCAUGCUCUGGCUAAGAAGCAUUGAAAACGCCGACAUCUUCACCAGGGAAGUCCAGUAAACCAGCACUCUGCAACCUUGGGAAGAGAUCACUGGAAAGAGUGAAACAAUGGGAAUGGCUGGGAAUCAGAUGCAUCUCAACUGUGGAGUUCUCCAAAGAAAACACAGCCUUGUAUUGUCUCACUUACCUCAUCUCACUCUGUCAGACUUUUGUUAGCUGCUAAAACACAAUUCAAGAUGGAAAAUCAAUUAUUCGUGAUUAAUAUUUUUGGUCGUUAUCCAGGAAGUUUGAAGGUUAUGAUGAUGUGACUUUGAAAACAAAGGGUUUUUUUUAAUGUGUAAGCAUUCAAGUUAGCAUUUUCCUGAAAAAUGUUUCCUCCUGUGUCGCCCUUACACUCAAUGCAUCAUCAUUCCCUUGAAGAAUAUCUUUUAGACUAUGCUUUUGACUCCCAGAGAGCCACAGCCAGUGCCCAAAUGCCUCACCUCAAAGAAUCAGAUGUUAAGCAUUAAUUCUUAGGUUUGACGUUGAAUUAGUGGCUCCUUUUUAUUUCCCUGGGACAAGUUCUGAGGUAGCACCAGAUGUGGCUGUCUUUAAAGUGCUCAUAAGUCACACGGGUGUCUGCUCUUGUUGGCUUUCUCAGAUCUCAGGGUAAUUCUCAAUAGCAUCUGGCUAAUUCUAAUGAAAAUAGCUCUAUCAUCUGAAGGAGAGGAGACAUAUGAAAGGAUCCUCUGCCCCCUUUUGGUAGCAUUCAGAAGUGCAGCCCAUAACUGAAUGACUUACACCUCACAUAGCAUCAACACUCAGCCCUUUUUAACUUUUCACACAUUCCCUUUGAAGACACAUUCAGUCGCAUUCCCAAGCUACACUCAACGCUGCUGAUGUGCAAAGUGUUUGAUCACCAAAAUAUAAUUUAAAUGUCAAAGUAGAUAUCAAAGGCAGUACGUAGUUACACCAGAUUUAUACCAUUUUAAUGACUUACUGUACAAUAUUACUCGGAUAUAACUUGCCAUAUUAACCGUGUAAGUGUUACUUUAACAAAUACAAGGGCCUAAACGAACACAUUACAAACAAAACUAAUGGAGCACAGGAAUGCUUUUCUUUUUAGAGUAAGGGUUAUUCUGUGAAAAGCAAUACGAAUAAAAAACUAGAUAUUAAGUGUUAACGGUGUGGCCACCGUGACUGAUAAGAUAAACCGUUAAACCUGAAAGUCAAACUUUCUCAACACGAAAGCAAAAACACCACAAAAUAACCAGAAUGCUUAGCAACAACAUUGAAAGAAAAAAAAAACCUUCAAGGAUUAUUACUUUAACCUUGUGGACCUGAUUUCGUCAAGGAAAGCAAUCCAUAGGUUUCUAGAACAAAGUGAAAAAUGGAAGAAAAUGCACUCCGAUUCCAAAUUCAUUCUAGCACCAAACAAAUCCAAAUGUAUAGACUCAAAGCUUCAUAACUCACACUGGAUUUGGACCCUAUAUUGUCAGUGAGCAUGGGUUAGAAAAGUCCUUGUCAUCUUUGAAGCUUAAUAAUUAAGUCACCUUAAUACAAAGUUAAGAUCUAAGCUUACAAGUCAAAGCUCCUUAUCCAUUUAAUACCUUUCAAAUACUUCAAACAGUGGGAUGAGUGUACUCUUCAAGUCACCCAGAAUGCCUUUUCCAGGAGCAAAUCACAGCCUCUCUCCGUCUUUUCUUCACUGAAUGGGGACCCCUGAAAUAGUGACAGAGAAGUGCUUGAAUUUUAUAGCGUUAUAAAAGGAGUAAUCACUGUGGCGUUUGUCACAAUGAUUAGGCCCACACUUUGGUUAGGCCUUGUUAUAAUUUCCAGACCCCUGGUAGAGAGCAGCUCUGUAUUACACCAAUUAGAGCGGUGAGUCAUAUGUCACUGGCCACCGAGGAAUUCAGCCUCCUCCAAUUUGUGCAGUAAAUUUAACUCUCGCUGUUACCCUGUCAAGGUCUGUAGUCGUUCUGCUGCUGACAGACAGCUGAAACUUAUUUGUCAAGGCGAUGCUGUAGAGUGUGUGUGAGGAGGUAAAAGGUCAGGGUUUAAUCUGAAUUAAGACACAAUUAUAUUCAUUCACCUCCUAUAAUCGCUUUCCCCCCAUUUUGUGUACCAUCUUAGAAUCUUCUAAUACAAUAAAGGUACUUAAAGGGUUUUGUUCACCUCUCCAAAAACAACAGAGUAAAAUAACAAACAAGACCACUUAUUUGUUAUAUUUGUUACGAGCCAAGCUCUCUCACAGCAGUGUCAGUGAAUAGGCCCUCCCCCAAAGGCGUAAUUAGAUUAAUGGUAGAGAUGGAGAGGACCUAAUGACCCUAUCCCCUCGCAUCACUGGAUAGCGGAAAUAUGUAUAGGCAUGAAAAAGUGCAUCAGCACUCGCCUGCUUCCUCCUCCACUCAUCUCCGCGCCCCAGACAAGUCAAUGGUCCUUGAGAACGCUCGGAGAUACAUUACAUGAAGCCCACGGCUGAGCCAUCCCCAUCUGCAUCACCCUGGCAUUUCGUUGGUCUGCCCCCCGUGUCACAAGAGGGAUGGAACAGCUUAAUAUGGGCUGUGUGGGUGGGUGUCAUUUUAUUCUUAACGACAGGCAAGCAAAUGAGUGUCUUACUGAGAUAAGGGCUAAAUGGGAACAGGGAAGUAUGCGAGAUAAUGAAAGUUAAAUGGAGAGAUUUAUGGGGUGAAAUAACCGCACUUAUAAUGUCCUCCUAUGUGUAUCAUGGUGAUUAUGAAACAGUUUUAUGUAUUCAUGAUGUAAAGUCUAUGUUCUGUGAAUCGCAGCAUGUGGACAGGACAGAACACACAGGUGUCAUAACCUGCACUGCUUCUAAAUGUUGUUACAUACAACUUAUUCAUUCAUGUUUCCUGGGUUAUUCUGUUACUCACCCCUCCUCUUGUUUCAGAUCCCUUCACUUCCUGCAAGGUUUGAUCCAGGUCUGCCCUGAUUAAUUGUUAAACUGUCCCUCAUUAGUCAUGAAGUCACUUCACCAUUUCACCUUAUCAGUCAUUCCUGCCAAUCCUCCUUUUUUGCCUUGGGACUUUGUUUGUUUAUUCCAUCAAUAAAUCAUUAAACUCUUCCUGCUGCCUCCUUUUCUUUUAACCUGUGUUUGGGUUUCAACCGUGCAUCUG